CCCCUACAAGAGAUAUCAAUC
rnacentral:miRNA from 1 species